rnacentral:lncRNA from 1 species
AGGCAACCCAGGAAUGUAGCAGUGUAUUCAUUAACAGCUCAAAGAGGUAAUGCUGAUGAGCUAAGUCUUGAUCUAAUUCCAAGUGGUUAUUUUGGAAACUGUGUUCAGAUAUUGAAAAUGUAACCUAUACUCUUUGGGUCCCAGACAGGUCACAUGAUUCAGUUACUCAUGAUCAUGUUUUUUUUUCAGUGGUACCCAGGAGGUAACCUCUAGUGCAUUGGAGAAAGAAAGCUACAUGAAGUACUUAAAAAAUCAAUAAACUUUUUAAAAAAAGGAAAUAAAUCUUUAAGUAUUAGCAAAGUAAUAAGAAGGAUUCUUUUGGGGAGGAGGAUUGUUGCAGAAUGAGACAGGUCAGGUGCUUUGACAUUCAGGUGAUGUAAUUCAUGUCUACUAAAGCUGAACCCACGAUGUCAUCAUCCUUUCGCUGAACAGAAGCUCAACUAACAGUGCAGCCGCAACUCCCAGCUCUGUCUUUUAAAGCAACUGUUUCCAGGCACACAAGCAAUGUCCAAGUGUACCUUUUGAUCCUUAACUUCCCCUGUAUUCUUUUUGGUGAAAGGACACAAAGGAUAAUGGUGAUUGGGAUGUGCUGAAUUCCUUCCUCCUGCCUACUGGAAAUGUGGUUCACAAUUCUCUUCACAAUUCUCUGUUAAACUGGCAGUGGCCGAUCAAAAUGUUGGUGCAUUAAUGUGAUCUGAAGUAUGGUAAGUUGGCUGAUAGCAGAAAUGAGGCAAGCUUAGAAGUGCAGUGUGAAACAUGUUAUCAAUAUUCAG